rnacentral:rRNA from 1 species
AUGGCGCUGCCGGCGCCGAGGUGGCUCCGGCGGGAGGUGCUCGUGGGCCUCGCGCUCGGGCAGUUCGUCUCGCUGCUCAUCACCUCCACCGGCUUCUCCUCCUCCGAGCUCGCCCGCCGAGGCGUCAACGCGCCGACGUCGCAGUCCCUGCUCAACUACAUCCUCCUCGCGCUUGUCUACGGAGGAAUUAUGAUCUACAAACGGCAACUUCUGACGGUGAAAUGGUACUACUACUUGAUCCUCAGCAUCGUCGACGUGGAGGCUAACUACAUCGUCGUGAAGGCUUACCAGUACACGUCCCUGACGAGCGUGAUGCUCCUGGACUGCUGGGCGAUCCCCUGCGUCCUCUUCCUCACCUGGAUCUUCCUCAAGACCAAGUACGGGUUGAGGAAGCUGUUCGGCGUGGGGAUCUGCGUGGCCGGCGUCGUGCUGGUGGUGUUCUCCGAUGUGCACGCCUCUGAACGUAAAUCAAAAGGACCCAGCCCCUUGAAAGGCGAUAUGCUUGUCAUCGCCGGGGCCACGCUUUACGCCGUCAGCAAUGUCACCGAGGAGUAUAUUGUCAAGAAAAGCAGCAGGAUUGAGGUGAUUGCGAUGCUAGGUGUUUUUGGAGCAAUUAUAAGCGGCAUACAGAUAAGCAUUCUUGAGCGGGAAGAACUUAGAUCAACGGAAUGGAAUGCCAGCGCAGUGCUCCCUUUUAUUGGAUUUGCACUAGCAAUGUUCCUGUUCUACUCCACAGUGCCUAUUAUCUUGAAGAUAUGCGGCGCAACCAUGUUGAACCUAUCGCUUCUGACCUCCGACAUGUGGGCAGUUCUAAUUCGUAUCUUUGCUUACCAUGAGAAGGUCGAUUGGAUGUACUUUGUUGCUUUCGCCGGCACUGCAAUUGGUCUCAUCAUCUACUCAUACAACAGGGGCUCCAGGGAGGCUGCCGAGGACACGGCGCAGGUCACAGGCGCAAUUGAUGAGGAGGCCACAACAGAGAACCACGGGGCGGAGCGAGUGCCCGGUGCCGGAGAAGAUGAUGGACCGGACACAAACAAGUCCCCGUCGGAAGCAGCUACCUCAAGGUAG